rnacentral:rRNA from 1 species
GACGUAGGGUGCGAGCGUUGUCCGGAUUUAUUGGGCGUAAAGAGCUCGUAGGCGGCUCGUCGCGUCGACCGUGAAAACCCGCGGCUUAACUGCGGGCUUGCGGUUGAUACGGGCGGGCUAGAGUUCGGUAGGGGAGACUGGAAUUCCUGGUGUAGCGGUGAAAUGCGCAGAUAUCAGGAGGAACACCGGUGGCGAAGGCGGUUCUCUGGGCAUUACCUGACGCUGAGGAGCGAAAGUGUGGGGAGCGAACGGG